GGGAAGGUAGCUCAGUGGUAGAGUGCUUGCCUUGCAAGCAUGAGGCCCUGGGUUCGAUUCCUUAGCACCA
rnacentral:tRNA from 1 species